UCAGCUGGGAGAGCGCCUGCCUUGCACGCAGGAGGUCACCGGUUCGAUCCCGGUAGGCUCCACCA
rnacentral:tRNA from 1 species